AUACGGAGGGUGCAAGCGUUAAUCGGAAUUACAGGGCGUAAAGCGCACGUAGGCGGCUUGUUAAGUCAGAUGUGAAAGCCCCGGGCUCAACCUGGGAACUGCAUUUGAUACUGGCAGGCUAGAGUAUGGUAGAGGCAAGUGGAAUUCCGGGUGUAGCGGUGAAAUGCGUAGAUAUCCGGAGGAACACCAGUGGCGAAGGCGACUUGCUGGACCAAUACUGACGCUGAGGUGCGAAGGCGUGGGGAGCAAACAGGAUUAGAAACCCUUGUAGUCC
rnacentral:rRNA from 1 species